GGUAUAGAUGUAUCUGAGGCAGAUGUUAUUGUGGGAGUGUAUCACAGGUCAUAUCAUUGGACUUUAGUGAUUGUUGAAGUAAGAGAAGGCAAGAUUUUUUUCUAAACCCAUGUGGAGAGAGGAGCCAUGAGAUGAAAAAAAUUGAGAGGAGUUGGAGGAAAUAUGACAGUGAAUAUCGGAACAAGUACCAAAUAAGCAACAAGUCACCAGAUUGGAAGAA